rnacentral:rRNA from 1 species
UUGAACGCUGGCGGAAUGCUUUACACAUGCAAGUCGAACGAUGAACCUUAGCUUGCUAGGGGGAUUAGUGGCGAACGGGUGAGUAAUAUAUCGGAACGUACCUUGUUAUGGGGGAUAACUAGUCGAAAGAUUAGCUAAUACCGCAUACGCCCUGAGGGGGAAAGUAGGGGAUCUUCGGACCUUACGUUAUAAGAGCGGCCGAUAUCUGAUUAGCUAGUUGGUGGGGUAAUGGCCUACCAAGGCGACGAUCAGUAGCUGGUCUGAGAGGACGACCAGCCACACCGGAACUGAGACACGGUCCAGACUCCUACGGGAGGCAGCAGUGG